CAUGGGUGAAGAGAAGCAAAGAGCAUUUUCACCCUCAGCCCCAAAACUCGGCCGCACGCAACAGAGAAAGCAAGAAAAGUAAAAGUGAAAAAAAAAAAAAAGGGAAAAGCAUUCAGGAGAUCAGAUGUGUGUGUAGCAGAAAAAGAGAGAGCAGAGUAGCAAGCGUAGACUGGAAGACCAGAGGCGCACAUGAAGAGCUAGAAGCAAAGAGCAGAAGGAAAAGAUACGAAGGCAGAGCCAAAGCUUUGACCACACAGCAAAAAAAAUGCAGAAGAAUGCCAGAAGUAGAGAAGACUGGAUGAGAGGAAGGAAACAUGUGCAGAAAAGAGCAGAGCAAACUUUCGAUUACACGCAUUUGAAUCUCACACACAAGGCAGGAACAGAGCGGCAAAUUUAGGAUAUCAAGAGGAGGAAGAGGCACUGCUCAGAUUUCCUAAUCUGCUUGCUUUUGGAAUGUUUUACAGUUGAUUUCAGUUUUUCAUUUCCAAACAAAUGUUAUGUUUAAAUAUCUCUAAACUUUGAUCAGUGUUGGGGACCAUUAAAAAUUUCUAAACAAGAGGUUGACAUAUGCCUGUUUGAUCGUUUA